GCUCGUAGUUGGAUUUCGGGUGUGAACGGCCGGUCCGUCUUUGAUGUGUACUGGUUGGUUGCGCCUUAUUGUCGAGGACAUGUUCUGGCUUUCAUUAGCUGGACAUGGAGUCGGCAGCGUUACUUUGAGAAAAUUAGAGUGUUCAAAGCAGGCUAUCGCUCUGAAUACUACAGCAUGGAAUAACACGAUAGGACUCCGAGCCUAUUCUGUUGGUCUUCGGGACCGGAGUAAUGAUUAAGAGGGACAGUUGGGGGCAUUCGUAUUCCGAUGUCAGAGGUGAAAUUCUUGGAUUAUCGGAAGACGAACAUCCGCGAAAGCAUUUGCCAAGGAUGUUUUCAUUAAUCAAUAACGAAAGUUGGGGGCUCGAAGAAGAUCAGAUACCUUCCUAGUCUCAACCAUAAACGAUGCCGACUAGGGAUUGGCGGAUGUUUUUUUAAUGACUCCGUCAGCACCUUACGAGAAAUCAAAGUCUUUGGGUUCCGGGGGNNNUAUGGUCGCAAGGC
rnacentral:rRNA from 1 species